AGACCAGGUGCCCCAGAAGACCAUGUCAGGAUGAUCCAUGCUCUUGGAACCUGACUUCAAAUGGAAGUCUGCAAAUGUACAUCACUGUGAGGCGUUUUGGUCAUGUGAGCAAAACUGUUUAUCUUGGAGUUCUCAUUAAGAGAAGAUUCAAAAUGAAGGGGAAAUUUUCUUUUCUUAUUUCUCACUAAUCAUUUCUGACAUGAAGUUGGCAAGCUGAGCUGUGAAGAGCCAUCCACCGGGUCCAGGUCGACCUCCCCCCUCGGGAAGAAGGCACACAUGGUGCCCAAGAAUAAAUGCCCUCCAACGGAGGGGAAGGACAGUGCUUAGUGUCAUUUUCAUAUGGAAUUUUUUUUCCCUCAGCAUAAUCUGCUUAUCUCUUUGUGGUACAAUUUAACUGUUGUGAUAUUAUUUAACUGUUUAAAGUUGUCAAACACAUGAUUUAGCAGGUGUUUGACAUGCCCUACAUUUUGUUCUCCCUAUCAAGAAAAAUGAAAUGUUUUGUAUUAUAUUUGAACUCUUUUCCUUAGAUUAUAUGUAGUACAAGUAGUUUCAGUUGAAAAAAAUCCAAUUUCUAUUUAAAUAUUAAUGAAAAUAAUCUUACCAAAGUAAGAUAGCUGCAAUAUUAAAAUCUGUGAUGUGUGUGUGUGUGUGUGUGUGUGUGUGUGUUUUCUCACAUUUUAAUAGAAAGAAGAGAAAUGGAUGUUUAAUCAUUGGGAAGAAAAAAAUCUAAAUAAUUCUUACUAAUAUACAUAUUAAAUUUCUUGUGAUACUGAAACAGAGUUAAUAUUCUAAAUGUCAAUGACUGAUGUACAAAUUUACUUCAAA